AGCGAACGCUGGCGGCAGGCCUAACACAUGCAAGUCGAACGAACUCUUCGGAGUUAGUGGCGGACGGGUGAGUAACACGUGGGAACGUGCCUUUAGGUUCGGAAUAACUCAGGGAAACUUGUGCUAAUACCGAAUGUGCCCUUCGGGGGAAAGAUUUAUCGCCUUUAGAGCGGCCCGCGUCUGAUUGGCUAGUUGGUGAGGUAAAGGCUCACCAAGGCGACGAUCAGUAGCUGGUCUGAGAGGAUGAUCAGCCACAUUGGGACUGAGAUACGGCCCAAACUCCUACGGGAGGCAGCAGUGGGGAAUCUUGCGCAAUGGGCGAAAGCCUGACGCAGCCAUGCCGCGUGAAUGAUGAAGGUCUUAGGAUUGUAAAAUUCUUUCACCGGGGACGAUAAUGACGGUACCCGGAGAAGAAGCCCCGGCUAACUUCGUGCCAGCCGCCGCGGUAA
rnacentral:rRNA from 1 species